GACGAACCGAGCGAACGUUGUUCGGAAUCACUGGGCUUAAAGGGCGCGUAGGCGGGUUCCAAAGUCCGUGGUGAAAUCCUCCAGCUUAACUGGAGAACUGCCUCGGAUACUGGGAGUCUCGAGGAAUGUAGGGGUAUGCGGAACUAUCGGUGGAGCGGUGAAAUGCGUUGAUAUCGAUAGGAACUCCGGUGGCGAAGGCGGCAUACUGGACAUUUUCUGACGCUGAGGCGCGAAAGCCAGGGGAGCAAACGGG
rnacentral:rRNA from 1 species